GAAAGUAAAUAAGGGCGCAUGGCGGAUGCCUUGGCUCUCGGAGGCGAUGAAGGACGUGAUAAGCUGCGAUAAGCUUCGGGUAGGUGCAAAUGACCUUUGAUCCGAAGAUUUCCGAAUGGGACAACCCGGCAUUCUGAAGGAAUGCCAUCCAACCAAGUUGGAGGCUAACGCAGGGAACUGAAACAUCUUAGUACCUGCAGGAAAAGAAAAUAAAUAAUGAUUCCCCUAGUAGUGGCGAGCGAACGGGGAUUAGCCCAAACCACCCAUGUUACGGCAUGUGUGGGGUUGUAGGACCACGCUCUCGCAAGACAGUUAUUGAGAAGAAACGACUGGAAAGUCGUGCCAUAGACGGUGAUAGCCCGGUAUUCUAAGGUAACCGAAGCGUAGUGGUAUCCUGAGUAGCGCGGAGCACGAGGAAUUCUGCGUGAAUCAGCCGGGACCAUCCGGUAAGGCUAAAUACUCCCGAGAGACCGAUAGCGAACCAGUACUGUGAAGGAAAGGUGAAAAGCACUUCGAAUAGAAGAGUGAAAUAGUCCCUGAAACCAUGCGCCUACAAGCGGUCGGAGCAGCUUAAGUUGUGACGGCGUGCCUUUUGCAUAAUGAACCUACGAGUUACUUUUUCCGGCAAGGUUAAGCAUCUUGAGAUGUGGAUCCGAAGCGAAAGCGAGUCUGAACAGGGCGGAUAGUCGGAAGGAGUAGACGCGAAACCAAGUGAUCUACCCUUGGGCAGGUUGAAGGUUAGGUAACACUAACUGGAGGACCGAACCGAUAAGCGUUGAAAAGCUUCCGGAUGACCUGAGGGUGGGGGUGAAAGGCUAAUCAAACUUGGAGAUAGCUCGUACUCCCCGAAAUGCAUUUAGGUGCAGCCUUGAGAGUUACUAAUGUGAGGUAGAGCGACUGAUAAGAUGCGAGGGCUUCACCGCCUAUCAAGUCUUGAUAAACUCCGAAUGCGCAUUAGUUCUAUCUCAGGAGUGAGGGCAUGGGUGCUAAGGUCCAUGUCCUAAAGGAGAAGAAUCCAGACCAUCAGCUAAGGUCCCCAAAUAAACACUAAGUUGAACUAACGAAGUCAGAUUGCUAAGACAGCUAGGAUGUUGGCUUGGAAGCAGCCAUUCAUUUAAAGAGUGCGUAACAGCUCACUAGUCGAGGAGUUUGGCGUGGAUAAUAAUCGGGCAUAAGUGUUUUACCGAAGCUAUGGGAUCCUAACGGAUCGGUAGGGGAGCAUUCCACUCAGCGUUGAAGGCGAAGCGUGAGCUUUACUGGAGCGUGUGGAAAAGCAAAUGUAGGUAUAAGUAACGAUAAAGGGGGUGAGAACCCCCCUCGCCGCAAGACUAAGGUUUCCUGAUCAACGCUAAUCGGAUCAGGGUUAGUCGGGUCCUAAGGCUCAGCCGAACGGUGAGGCCGAUGGCAGAACAGGUUAAUAUUCCUGUACUACCUGUAAGAGUGAUGUGGAGACGGAGGAGUGACAACGCCGCGGACUGACGGAAUAGUCCGUUAAAGGGUGUAGAUGUUGAUUAUCCCAGGCAAAUCCGGGAUAAGAGUCGAACCUGAUAGUAUACCAAUUUCCUCGGAAAACGGUAAUAGUGCGUGUAAACAUACUCCCAAGAAAAUCCGCUAAACUUAAUCUUACAGGUACCCGUACCGUAAACGGACACACGUAGUCGGGUUGAAUAUACUCAGGCGCUUGAGUGAAUCACGGUUAAGGAACUAGGCAAAUUGACCCUGUAACUUCGGGAUAAAGGGUCCCUACCCGGUGACGGGAGGGCGCAGAGAAUAGGUCCAGGCAACUGUUUAACAAAAACACAGGGCUGUGCAAAAUUGAAAGAUCACGUAUACAGCCUGACACCUGCCCGGUGCUGGAAGGUUAAGAGGAGAUGUCAUCGCAAGAGAAGCAUUGAAUUGAAGCCCCAGUAAACGGCGGCCGUAACUAUAACGGUCCUAAGGUAGCGAAAUUCCUUGUCGGGUAAGUUCCGACC
rnacentral:rRNA from 1 species